CUCCUCGCCCAGCGUGGGGCCUGCGGAGAGAGGGCCCGAGUGGGGGGGGGCUCGGUGACAGUGGCAGCGAAGUCACAGCCAGGGCUGAGCCCCCACCACCCAGUUCACAGUGCGCUGGGGCCAGGGCCUGCCAGGCCAGGGCGGGCUGCCGUUUCGGGGAGCAGCGAUGCCGGCGCGGGCAUCACGACCAGGCAAAGGCAGGCAAAGGGCAGCACCGCAGCGGCCGGAGCAGUGCACUGGCCCCGAACCUGCUGCGCCCUGGGUCCAGGCCCUAACCACCUCCACCACUCAUUCACUCGCUGCCCUUGCCGCUGAGCAACGCCUGUGCUAGGGGCCUGCUUUUUCUCUCAAACUAACCAGGGGACCCACAGCCUGAUCGCUCUUUGGGCCGGUAACUGGCCUCAGCCGAACCUGGUGGGAGGAAGUGGCUUGCGCCCCCCAGCCCCCCCACCGACUGUCACCACCCAGGUCAUCCCCAAGCUCAGCAUACCCACUGUCCCUCAUCUCCCAUCCAGGCUGACCCAGCAGGUGCUGCCUUCCUUGGAGCUGUGCAUUUGUGCCAGGCAUGUGCUCAUGACAGUGACCUCCUGCCUACUCCCUGCAAACCCCAGUCACAUGCCCAGAGGCCAGAGGCCAAGGAACAUGCUUACCUUUAUCGGCUGCUGGGGCAAAGAGCUUCUCGGAGCCCACGGACGCCUGGAAGACAGAGAGGAAGGAGGCACGGCAGCAUUAUUCACAGGAGCCAAGCAGCUGGGAUGGCCUGGAGUCCAUCAGCAGGCGUACAGGGAAACAAAGUGGUCCACGUGGCCAACAGGUACCAGUCAGCCUUUUAAGGAAAGACAGUAUGACAUGUACUACAAGGGCGGACCUCGAGGAUGUGGCGCUGAGGCAAAGAGGCCAGAACCAGAGGACAUCCAGUGUCGGACCCCACUUAUGUGAAGAGUUGGCGCACCGGGGCAGGGGUGGGGGUCAGAAUUGAAGAGACCCUGUCGGUUUUACAGGCAAAGAGUCCCAGAUGAAGCAGCACACAUGGUGUGAGUACACUCGAUGCCCUGAGCCGUGCACUGAGAAUCGGUUACAAGAGUAUAUUGUCUUACCACAAUACAUACAAAAUUAAAAGAA